rnacentral:rRNA from 1 species
UACGGAGGGGGCUAGCGUUGUUCGGAAUCACUGGGCGUAAAGGGCGCGUAGGCGGCCUGGUAAGCGUGCGGUGAAAGCCCGGGGCUCAACCCCGGGUCGGCCGUGCGAACUGCGAGGCUGGAGCACUGUAGAGGCAGGUGGAAUUCCGGGUGUAGCGGUGGAAUGCGUAGAGACCCGGAAGAACACCGGUGGCGAAGGCGGCCUGCUGGGCAGUGGCUGACGCUGAGGCGCGACAGCGUGGGGAGCAAACAGG